rnacentral:rRNA from 1 species
GGCUCAGGACGAACGCUGGCGGCGCGCCUAAUACAUGCAAGUCGAGCGAGAAGGUGUAGCAAUACACUUGUAAAGCGGCGAACGGGUGAGGAAUGCAUGGGUAACCUACCCUCGAGUGGGGAAUAACUAGCCGAAAGGUUAGCUAAUACCGCAUACGUUUCCGGGACUUCGGUACCGGAAAGAAAGCAAUACCGUGGGUAUUGCGCUCAUGGAUGGGCUCAUGUCCUAUCAGCUUGUUGGUGAGGUAACGGCUCACCAAGGCUUCGACGGGUAGCUGGUCUGAGAGGACGAUCAGCCACACUGGCACUGCGACACGGGCCAGACUCCUACGGGAGGCAGCAGUAAGGAAUAUUGCGCAAUGGACGAAAGUCUGACGCAGCGACGCCGCGUGGGGGAUGAAGGUCUUCGGAUUGUAAACCCCUUUCGGGAGGGAAGAUGGAGUGGGUAACCACUUGGACGGUACCUCCAGAAGCAGCCACGGCUAACUUCGUGCCAGCAGCCGCGGUAAUACGAAGGUGGCAAGCGUUGUUCGGAUUCACUGGGCGUACAGGGAGCGUAGGCGGUUGGGUAAGCCCUCCGUGAAAUCUCCGGGCCUAACCCGGAAAGUGCAGAGGGGGCUGCUCAGCUAGAGGAUGGGAGAGGAGCGCGGAAUUCCCGGUGUAGCGGUGAAAUGCGUAGAGA